rnacentral:rRNA from 1 species
UACAGGGGGGGCAAGCGUUGUUCGGAAUUACUGGGCGUAAAGGGUUUGUAGGUGGCUUGCUCAGUCAGACGUGAAAUCCCUCAGCUUAACUGGGGAACUGCGUCUGAUACUGGCGAGCUUGAGUGCAGGAGAGGAACGCGGAAUUCCAGGUGUAGCGGUGAAAUGCGUAGAUAUCUGGAGGAACACCGGUGGCGAAGGCGGCGUUCUGGACUGCAACUGACACUGAAAAACGAAAGCCAGGGGAGCAAACGGG